GAUACUCCCCCCGGGAAAACUACAUAUCAUAAGCGGAGGACAAGAAACCAACAGGGAUUGCCCCAGUAACGGCGAGUGAAGCGGCAACAGCUCAAAUUUGAAAUCUGGCUCUUUUAGAGUCCGAGUUGUAAUUUGCAGAGGGCGCUUUGGCUUUGGCAGCGGUCCAAGUUCCUUGGAACAGGACGUCACAGAGGGUGAGAAUCCCGUACGUGGUCGCUGGCUAUUGCCGUGUAAAGCCCCUUCGACGAGUCGAGUUGUUUGGGAAUGCAGCUCUAAAUGGGAGGUACAUUUCUUCUAAAGCUAAAUAUUGGCCAGAGACCGAUAGCGCACAAGUAGAGUGAUCGAAAGAUGAAAAGCACUUUGGAAAGAGAGUCAAACAGCACGUGAAAUUGUUGAAAGGGAAGCGCUUGCAGCCAGACUUGCUUGCAGUUGCUCAUCCGGGCUUUUGCCCGGUGCACUCUUCUGCAGGCAGGCCAGCAUCAGUUUGGGCGGUAAGAUAAAGGUCUCUGUCACGUACCUCUCUUCGGGGAGGCCUUAUAGGGGAGACGACAUAUUACCAGCCUGGACUGAGGUCCGCGCAUCUGCUAGGAUGCUGGCGUAAUGGCUGUAAGCGGCCCGUCUUGAAACACGGACCAAGGAGUCUAACAUCUAUGCGAGUGUUUGGGUGUCAAGCCCGAGCGCGUAAUGAAAGUGAACGGAGGUAGGAACCCGCAAGGGUGCACUAUCGACCGAUCCUGAUGUCUUCGGAAGGAUUUGAGUAAGAGCAUGGCUGUUGGGACCCGAAAGAUGGUGAACUAUGCUUGAAUAGGGUGAAGCCAGAGGAAACUCUGGUGGAGGCUCGCAGCGGUUCUGACGUGCAAAUCGAUCGUCAAAUUUGGGCAUAGGGGCGAAAGACUAAUCGAACAUCAGUGCAC
rnacentral:rRNA from 1 species